rnacentral:rRNA from 1 species
UUGACCUCGGAUCAGGUAGGGAUACCCGCUGAACUUAAGCAUAUCAAUAAGCGGAGGAAAAGAAACCAACAGGGAUUGCCCUAGUAACGGCGAGUGAAGCGGCAACAGCUCAAAUUUGAAAUCUGGCUCUUUCAGAGUCCGAGUUGUAAUUUGCAGAGGGCGCUUUGGCGUUGGCAGCGGUCCAAGUUCUUUGGAACAGGACGUCACAGAGGGUGAGAAUCCCGUACGUGGUCGCUAGCCUUCGCCGUGUAAAGCCCCUUCGACGAGUCGAGUUGUUUGGGAAUGCAGCUCUAAAUGGGAGGUAAAUUUCUUCUAAAGCUAAAUAUUGGCCAGAGACCGAUAGCGCACAAGUAGAGUGAUCGAAAGAUGAAAAGCACUUUGGAAAGAGAGUCAAAUAGCACGUGAAAUUGUUGAAAGGGAAGCGCUUGCAGCCAGACUUGCCUGUAGUUGCUUAUCCGGACUUUUGUCCGGUGCACUCUUCUGCGGGCAGGCCAGCAUCAGUUUGGGCGGUUGGAUAAAGGUCUCUGUCAUGUACCUCCUUUCGGGGAGGCCUUAUAGGGGAGACGACAUGCAACCAGCCUGGACUGAGGUCCGCGCAUCUGCUAGGAUGCUGGCGUAAUGGCUGUAAGCGGCCCGUCUUGAAACACGGACCAAGGASUCUAACAUCUAUGCGAGUGUUUGGGUGUCAAGCCCAGACGCGUAAUGAAAGUGAACGGAGGUGGGAACCUUUUAGGUGCACCAUCGACCGAUCCUGAUGUCUUCGGAAGGAUUUGAGUAAGAGCAUGGCUGUUGGGACCCGAAAGAUGGUGAACUAUGCUUGAAUAGGGUGAAGCCAGAGGAAACUCUGGUGGAGGCUCGCAGCGGUUCUGACGUGCAAAUCGAUCGUCAAAUUUGGGCAUAGGGGCGAAAGACUAAUCGAACUAUCUAGUAGCUGGUUCCUGCCGAAGUUUCCCUCAGGAUAGCAGUAACGUAUUCAGUUUUAUGAGGUAAAGCGAAUGAUUAGAGGCCUGGGGGUUGAAACAACCUUCACCUAUUCUCAAACUUUAAAUAUGUAAGAAGUCCUUGUUACUUGAUUGAACGUGGACACUUGAAUGUACCGUUACUAGUGGGCCAUUUUUGGUAAGCAGAACUGGCGAUGCGGGAUGAACCGAACGCGGGGUUAAGGUGCCAGAAUAUACGCUCAUCAGACACCACAAAAGGUGUUAGUUCAUCUAGACAGCAGGACGGUGGCCAUGGAAGUCGGAAUCCGCUAAGGAGUGUGUAACAACUCACCUGCCGAAUGAACUAGCCCUGAAAAUGGAUGGCGCUCAAGCGUAUUACCCAUACCCCGCCGCCGGGGCAGAAUUUAUGCCCCGGCGAGUAGGCAGGCGUGGAGGCUCGUGACGAAGCCUUGGGGGUGACCCCGGGUCGAACGGCCUCUAGUGCAGAUCUUGG